rnacentral:rRNA from 1 species
UGAGCCAAGUUUAGGGUUUUCUCAAAACCCAAGCAGUAUUGAACUGAAGAGUUUGAUCAUGGCUCAGAUUGAACGCUGGCGGCAGGCCUAACACAUGCAAGUCGAGCGGAUGAAGGGAGCUUGCUCCUGGAUUCAG